rnacentral:rRNA from 1 species
GACGAACGCUGGCGGCGUGCUUAACACAUGCAAGUCGAACGGAAAGGCCCUGCUUUUGUGGGGUGCUCGAGUGGCGAACGGGUGAGUAACACGUGAGUAACCUGCCCUUGACUUUGGGAUAACUUCAGGAAACUGGGGCUAAUACCGGAUAGGAGCUCCUGCUGCAUGGUGGGGGUUGGAAAGUUUCGGCGGUUGGGGAUGGACUCGCGGCUUAUCAGCUUGUUGGUGGGGUAGUGGCUUACCAAGGCUUUGACGGGUAGCCGGCCUGAGAGGGUGACCGGCCUCAUUGGGACUACGAUACGGCCCAGACUCCUACGGGAGACAACGGUGGGGAAUAUUGCCCAAUGAGCGGAAGCCUGAUGCGGCAGCGCCGCGUGCGGGAUGACGGCCUUCGGGUUGUAAACCGCUUUAGCCUGUGACGAAGCGUGAGUGACGGUAAUGGAUAAAGAAGCACCGGCUAACUACGUG